GGAAAUGAUGAGAGAAUCUGGAAUCUCGUUCGUCUGAACUGCUGUUGAGAAAUAAAACUUCUGACACCU